UACGGAGGGGGCGAGCGUUAUUCGGAAUUAUUGGGCGUAAAGGGCGCGUAGGCGGCCUGGUCAGUCGACGGUGAAAUCCCCGAGCUCAACUUGGGAACUGCCUUCGAUACUGCCGGGCUUGAGUCCGGGAGGGGAGAGUGGAAUUCCUGGUGUAGCGGUGAAAUGCGCAGAUAUCAGGAAGAACACCAAUGGCGAAAGCAGCUUUCUGGGACGGUACUGACGCUGAGACGCGAAAGCGUGGGGAGCGAACAGG
rnacentral:rRNA from 1 species